rnacentral:rRNA from 1 species
UACGUAGGUGGCGAGCGUUAUCCGGAAUUAUUGGGCGUAAAGCGUGCGCAGGCGGUAUAUUAAGUCUAAAAUAAAAGCCCGAAGCUUAACUUCGGAUAGUUUUAGAAACUGGUAAACUAGAGUGCGGUAGAGGCAAAUGGAAUUUCUAGUGUAGCGGUAAAAUGCGUAGAUAUUAGAAGGAACACCAGUGGCGAAGGCGAUUUGCUGGGCCGCAACUGACGCUCAUGCACGAAAGCGUGGGGAGCAAAUAG